AUCCAGCGAAUCAAAUCAAGCAUCCUCCCAAGUGCAUCCCGAGCUUCACGGAUUCGGAACCACUCCCAGCUGAAUCCAGUUGUUCCCAGUGCCAAUCCAGCAUCAGAUCGAGCCUCAUCCUUAUCCUCCACUCGGAAAAAGGGAAGAGAUAGAGACUGCAGCCUAUAAAAGGCCCAAGCUUGAAACAGGGGAAGGCACUUCGGGGGGUUCGGUUCCACAUCUCUUCACAGGCCAAAUCCCACGGGAAGAAAGAAACAAAGAAGGGAGAGAAGAGUUUUGGAUAUUUUGGGAAUGAUUUCUCAUAUAAAAAAAAUGAAGUGCUGAGAGGGAGUUCUUCAAUGGAAGUCGCCAGAGGAAGAAAGAAAGAAGAGCUGGUCGCGAUGGAAGUCUUCUCCACUGCUAUGGCUGUUCAAUU